rnacentral:rRNA from 1 species
CCCUUAGAUGUUCUGGGCCGCACGCGCGCUACACUGAUGCAUUCAACGAGUUUAUAACCUUGACCGAGAGGUCUGGGUAAUCUUUUAAACGUGCAUCGUGAUAGGGAUAGAUUAUUGCAAUUAUUAAUCUUGAACGAGGAAUUCCUAGUAAACGCAGUUCAUCAGACUGCAUUGAUUACGUCCCUGCCCUUUGUACACACCGCCCGUCGCACCUACCGAUUGAAUGGUCCGGUGAAGCGUUCGGACCGUGGCCUUUGGACGGUUCGCCGUCUGUUGGCUGCGGGAAGUUCGUUAAACCUUNUNAUUUAGNGGAAGGAGAANUCGUANCA